AGGCAGUAACAGCAUCAGACCCUUACCUUGGCUUCCAUGCCACCCAUGCCUACUCUUGACUUGGUUCCAAAGGUCACAGACUGCUGAUCUCCGGGAUAAAAUAUAUCAAUGAGCUUUGCGUCAUCUGACCCUGGGGGGCUGUCAAAGAGACCUAAAAAGUAGACAAGAUCGGAAGAGCACACGUCUAACU